CAGGCCUGCACUCUCAUGAUUUGGAGAUAGCCUGGUAGAAAUGACAACCACGAUGUUAAUACUAACAUAUGUAUUACAUGGCUUGUUUGUUCUUUCACUUAAUAUUUUCAGAGCACCUACCUAUUACGGGCACUGUCACUUCUCACAAAACUGGGACAACUAACUGUUUAUCCAACAUCUGCUGGCUAAAUAAAGACAUGAUCUUCACCUUUUGGGAUUGUUAAUUUAAAAUGGUUCCAUAAGAGCAAUGCAAAGACAGAGAUAUUUGGCAGCAUUGCAGCUGGUGAUUUAUAUGGCUUUUCACAAGGUGUUAUUUUGGGUAUCAAGGUAUGGAUGCUUAAAUCAGCUGCAGGAAAUAAGAAAGAAGAAAAAAGGAGUGAUAAAGAUAAAAAAAAAAUCAACCUUGGUCCUUCCACCAAGACCCAUUAAUUUCCAUAUCAUCAUCUGCAUAAGAGGGAAGAUUCCUACAUGACCAGAUUAUAAUGAAAGACAAAAUAUAUGCUGCAGUUGGGGUGGAGAAAUUGAAGGAGAGAAACACAGGUUAUGGUUAAAGACUUUUUUGAGAACUGGUCGCUGAUUCCUGACUACAAGAUUCCUACUUCCUCUGAACGUCCUGCCUCUCUUCUCUGUGCCUCAAGUAGGACGUACAAGAUAAGUCACUUUAUGGAAUCACCAUUUUGGUGUAUGCAUUCAAUUCCUACAUAAAUGUGAAAUUCUGCA